rnacentral:rRNA from 1 species
AUUGAACGCUGGCGGCAUGCUUUACACAUGCAAGUCGAACGGCAGCACGGACUUCGGUCUGGUGGCGAGUGGCGAACGGGUGAGUGAUGCAUCGGAACGUGCCCGAUCGUGGGGGAUAACGCAGCGAAAGCUGCGCUAAUACCGCAUACGAUCUGAGGAUGAAAGCGGGGGACCGUAAGGCCUUGCGCGAUCGGAGCGGCCGAUGUCAGAUUAGGUAGUUGGUGGGGUAAAGGCUCACCAAGCCGACGAUCUGUAGCUGGUCUGAGAGGAUGACCAGCCACACUGGGACUGAGACACGGCCCAGACUCCUACGGGAGGCAGCAGUGGGGAAUUUUGGACAAUGGGCGAAAGCCUGAUCCAGCAAUGCCGCGUGCAGGAAGAAGGCCUUCGGGUUGUAAACUGCUUUUGUACGGAGCGAAAAGGCUCUCUCUAAUACAGGGGGCUCAUGACGGUACCGUAAGAAUAAGCACCGGCUAACUACGUGCCAGCCGCCGCGGUAA